rnacentral:lncRNA from 1 species
GCCCCAAAGAAUCACAGGAAUAUUUGAAGACAUAGACGAAAAUUCACACCCACCCUACGAACAGAUCUUAGAUCUAACGUAAUUUAAUUCCAUAAUUCACAUAAACCUCCAACAAGUUGGAAAUAACUUCUAUAUAUAAAUGAAAGGAUCAGAAACAUUCAGAAAACAUCUCUUGCCUUUGAGAUUCACCCAGCUUCUACCAUGGAAUUUCUGGAGUUAUUAGGUGAUAAAACUAUUGGUGGACCUCUUGCAAAAUUUCAGUCCUCCGUAACAAAGUAUCCAUCUGUAGCUCAGAAGAGCAGAAUAACCGAUUUGUAAGUAAAGCUCAAGUUCUUUAGCACAACAUUCAACGCUACCCACGUCUGUGUAGAAGCUCAAGUGGAGCCUGUAUAUUAUGACUCGAAGAAUUCACCAAUAGAUGGCUGAGUGUCCACCACCGAAAUAGCUGAUGUGAUGGAACGUGGUUCACAAAGUCUUGAAGCAGGAUGGAAUCUGGACACUGAAAAAAAAUAGAGAAGAG